AGCAGCCGCGGUAAUUCCAGCUCCAAUAGCGUAUAUUAAAGUUGUUGCAGUUAAAAAGCUCGUAGUUGAAUUUCGGGGUCAGUAGGCUGGUCAUGCCACUGGUAUGUACUGGUCUUACUGAUUCCUCCUUCCUGACGAACCGUAAUGCCAUUAAUUUGGUGUUGCGGGGAAUUUGGACUGUUACUUUGAAAAAAUUAGAGUGUUUAAAGCAGGCUAACGCUUGAAUACAUUAGCAUGGAAUAAUGGAAUAGGACGUUCGAUCCUAUUUUGUUGGUUUCUAGGAUUGACGUAAUGAUUAAUAGGGAUAGUUGGGGGCAUUAGUAUUCAAUUGUCAGAGGUGAAAUUCUUGGAUUUAUUGAAGACUAACUACUGCGAAAGCAUUUGCCAAGGAUGUUUUCAUUAAUCAAGAACGAAAGUUAGGGGAUCGAAGACGAUCAGAUACCGUCGUAG
rnacentral:rRNA from 1 species